rnacentral:tRNA from 1 species
GGUCCGUUAGCUCAAUCAGCUAGAGCACUCGCCUGUCGAGCGAAAGGUAGCGGGAGCAUAACCCGCACGGACCGCCA